GAUGAACGCUGGCGGCGUGCCUAAUACAUGCAAGUCGAGCGAACGGACGAGAAGCUUGCUUUUCUGAUGUUAGCGGCGGACGGGUGAGUAACACGUGGAUAACCUACCUAUAAGACUGGGAUAACUUCGGGAAACCGGAGCUAAUACCGGAUAAUAUUUUGAACCGCAUGGUUCAAAAGUGAAAGACGGUCUUGCUGUCACUUAUAGAUGGAUCCGCGCUGCAUUAGCUAGUUGGUAAGGUAACGGCUUACCAAGGCAACGAUGCAUAGCCGACCUGAGAGGGUGAUCGGCCACACUGGAACUGAGACACGGUCCAGACUCCUACGGGAGGCAGCAGUAGGGAAUCUUCCGCAAUGGGCGAAAGCCUGACGGAGCAACGCGCGUGAGUGAUGAAGGUCUUCGGAUCGUAAAACUCUGUUAUUAGGGAAGAACAUAUGUGUAAGUAACUGUGCACAUCUUGACGGUACCUAAUCAGAAAGCCACGGCUAACUACGUG
rnacentral:rRNA from 1 species